rnacentral:rRNA from 1 species
GACGAACGCUGGCGGCGUGCUUAACACAUGCAAGUCGAACGGAAAGGCCCUGCUUUUGUGGGGUGCUCGAGUGGCGAACGGGUGAGUAACACGUGAGUAACCUGCCCUUGACUUUGGGAUAACUUCAGGAAACUGGGGCUAAUACCGGAUAGGAGCUCCUGCUGCAUGGUGGGGGUUGGAAAGUUUAGGCGGUUGGGGAUGGACUCGCGGCUUAUCAGCUUGUUGGUGGGGUAGUGGUUUACCAAGGCUCUGACGGGUAGCCGGCCUGAGAGGGUGACCGGCCACAUUGGGACUGAGAUACGGACCAGAGUCCUACGGGGGGCAGCAGUGGGGAAUAUUGCACAAUAGGCGGAAGCCUGAUGCAGCGACGCCGCGUGCGUGAUGAAGGCCUUCGGGUUGUAAACCGCUUUCGCCUGUGACGAAGCGUGAGUGACGGUAAUGGGUAAAGAAGCACCGGCUAACUACGUG